rnacentral:rRNA from 1 species
AUACGGAGGAUCCGAGCGUUAUCCGGAUUUAUUGGGUUUAAAGGGAGCGUAGGUGGAUUGUUAAGUCAGUUGUGAAAGUUUGCGGCUCAACCGUAAAAUUGCAGUUGAAACUGGCAGUCUUGAGUACAGUAGAGGUGGGCGGAAUUCGUGGUGUAGCGGUGAAAUGCUUAGAUAUCACGAAGAACUCCGAUUGCGAAGGCAGCUCACUAGACUGUUACUGACACUGAUGCUCGAAAGUGUGGGUAUCAAACAGGAUUAGAUACCCUGGUAGUCCACACAGUAAACUAUGAAUACUCGCUGUUUGCGAUAUACAGUAAGCGGCCAAGCGAAAGCAUUAAGUAUUCCACCUGGGGAGUACGCCGGCAACGGUGAAACUCAAAGGAAUUGACGGGG